GCAAUAUUUGGUGCAGGGCCCUCCAGCUUGGACAGCUCUGGGCAGGCAGCUGUGCACACCAAGCAGCUUGGCACAUAAUACAGGUUCUCUCUAGGCUGGACAAAGUCUCCCCAGCCCUCCUCGGGUGGAGACGGCUGCACCCAAAUGGCCGCUUGGGAUGGGUUUGGUGCCUGGGGCAGGGAUGGAGCAGGAGAUGUCCACAAUGGGGCUAGUGGCAGGGCUCCAGCCUGCACUUCUGUUUGCGCACGGGCUCGGCCAAAGCGCCCGAGAGCUUCAGGCUGGUGAACAAGGGAAGAGAGCUCUAAGUCUCAAAGGGCUCAGUGAUGGGCUAUUUAAUUGGUGUCAAUAAUCAGCAGGCAAUUAACUAAUGGGGAAUUGUCUCACUUACCCUUAGUACCUGACCAGCUGUAACACUUGUUCAUUGCAGUGAUGCUAAUGGUGGUUGGAUGCUCAUAAAACGUAAGGAUGGCACUCCACUGACUACUGAAAUGUGUGAGCUGUGAGAGAAGAGAAACAAUCCUGCUGGCUCCAGCUCGGGCUGAGAGCACAUAGCACUGGUGUGGUAAGUGAAGGAUGGCAGGACACCGAGGUUGCCCAGGUGUCCCUGUCUUGGGAUGCAUCGCGUGGCAUCAAGCAGAGGAAGCACUGCAGCACGCAGAGGAGAGAACCCAACACAAGAUCCUGAAGAUAAGACCUACUUGCUCUGCUCUGCCACAAGGCUUACGCACCUUAUAACCACAGAGAUGUUCAUGCUGAUCACAGCCCUCAGGAGGCAAACAGGAACACAAAGCCCUCAGGUUUUUCUGUCACGGAGAACAAACGUUUAGUGCAUAAGAGUGAGACAGCAUCGAGAUGAGUCACACGAGUGUCAGCUCUGCAGAAACGCAGCUGUCAGAUCCGGGAGCCAGACUGAGAGCCCACUGCUGGGGACGUCACACCCACAGCCCUGCCGCAAUGGGGCCAGACACCCAUCGUGGGAAGAGACUGGUCUACACCACUGUGUGCGGGUGAGCUCUCAACCAGGGGGGAACUGGGGCCUGUGGAACCCCUACACUCCCGUGGAGCAGCUGUUGCCCACCCUGUUGCAGGGAGAGUUGUGCAGCAGUGGAGCAUGGGGGUGGGAAAGGAGGCAACCUUUGGCACUAGCCAAAUAGGAUUGGGGGAAGGUAGGUCUGUGCCAGUAAAGCCAGCGGCAAGCAGGAGGUCUUUCCUGGAGACAGGGAUUUGUUCCUCUAAGGACAGAAGAAGGCUGUGAGGUCCUCCUGAGGACCUGUAUAUUUUCCUGGUAUUUUUUGCCAGUCUCCUACCAAAUCCCAGUGCUGGAGGAUGCUCAACUAACACACUUUACAUCUGUUGGGUUUUUGUUAAAAUAUAGUACACUAAGCAGGACUAGACAAUGUGGUUUUUGGUUAUGGUGUGAAGUAUGGGUUACGCCUACAUGGGAUGCUGCAAACCUCCAUGAGACAGCUUGGGUGACCUUUGAAGGUAUCACAUUUUCCAUGGAAGCAAGGCAAAACCACUUUUAAACUUUUUUUUUUUUUUUUUUCCUUCCCACCCCUCAACCACAAGUUUCUCUUUCCUAUAUUAUCAAUGUGACAGGUCACUGUGCUGUGGAAUCCUUUGGGUGUGGAAGGUCUUCACCUUCAUUAAAAUUCCAAAGUCAAAGCUUAAUUUAUUUACAAUUUAUGCUCUCAUGUCCGAGGAGGAAAACAACAUGUAAGGAUAGCACUGUUUGUAAGGAGCCAUGCUGCUGGCUGCAGCAAUACCCCACUUGUACUAUGCUGUAGAAAUACAUCAUACAGGUGCCUCUGUUGUGAAUGAAUUUUAUGUAUGACCUGCACACAUACUGGAACGGAUCGUUAGUGCUCUUUGGGCUGUACACCAGCCUAUUCAGCCUCAUUAAUGUUGAUGCUAUAGACUCAUAUAAUUGAUUUCCUGAGCUGAAAAAAACCCUUGUUCUUACAUAAAUGUAAGAAUUAUUUUGUUUCUGAGUGUCCUGCACUUGGUUGGAGACACAUGAUGUGUGUUUAUUUGAUCAUCUGGGAACUUGGCUGAAAUUGCAUAGCUGCUCAUGAAGCUUGUUUUUCUUCUGAAAAAUGGGUAGGAAUUAACUAGAAAUAAAUGUGAAAUCUCAAGAGAUAUUUUUAAUGGAUUUACUUUUUAGAAUACAAUUCUAUAUCCAAUAUAUUCUCUCUCCUACUCCACAUAUUCACAUAAAAAAUCACAUCACUUAAAAUGGUCAGUUAAAAGCAAUUGUGUAUUAUCAAAAUGAGUAUUUGACACAUUUUUCAGUAAAUGGUCUGAAACAUCGCAAGGCAGUGGAAACAACCUGUCAGCUUUAUUGCCACCAGAGGCUGUAGCCUCUAAUCAAAGUUCCCUUUAAGAAACAUAUUGGUCCUGAAUUUUACUUCAACUAAUAUUUAUUUCACUUCUAUUAAUAUUUUUAAUUAUGUUAUAAUUUCCAAACAGAUGAUCUAGUGUUCUUGAGCAUCCAGAGCAAGCCACCCAUAUGUGAGCUCUGCCUAUCAUCUUCAUUUUUGCAUGCAAAGCAAGCUCUUUGCCUGCGCACAGCCAUCCUGAGCUGUACACAGCCAUCCUGAGCACUGCCUCUUACCUACACAGACAGGGGCAUGGGAAACUUGAAAUGAAUCAGACAUUUUUUUUUUUAAUAAAAGCAGACAGAAAAUUGCAUCUUACAGGCCCCCCAAAAGUAGACCCAUCUGCAGUAAUUACGAAAAGCUGUCUGAAGUGAAGUGGCAGGAUUUUGUUAUCCUCCAGUGCAGGCGUUUCCCAGUAUCAGCCUUUGGGAGGCUGCACCAGACACAGAUAAAUGCUAUAGACAACACCUCACUUCAUCAGGACUUAGCUUUGGCCUUGUCUGUCUGAUUAAAUCAGACUUUUAUAAUCUCAGCCCAAAGCACAAUAAAAUCAUACAGACGGAGGAUUAUUAUUUUUUCCAGUAAAGUUUGAGGAUCAGAUACUUUCCAGUUUUAUUUCUUUAUCUAAAAGCAGACUCUCAGGUAACCAAACUGACUGCUAGUGCUACCUGCCCAGUUACAUCCUUGGUCUUCAGAAAUGCUGAUGAGAAGACAACAGCACGCUGCUGGACUGUGCCCAUCCUUAACCCAAUGCACCCUUAGCAUCCCAGAGGGAAGGCAAGAGGCAGCCAGCUUUCCCAAAAUCCAGAUUUUUUUUUUCUUUUUUUUUAAUAAUUUGGAAGUUCAUUACAAGCACAGAUACUGUCUCCUCCUCAUAAUAAGCAUCCAAUAAAAAUAGGAAAAAGAAAAAUCAUGCUUCACACCCUCCUUUUCAGUUCUAAUUGCUCCUAGUAACCAAGCUGCAGGAAAUGAGAUAGAUUCACUUUUUUAUUUGCAAACACAGAGAAAAUCCCCUUAUCAGCAGAACAGUGUGAUUUUUUUCCCCUCCAGGAUGGCACAUGCAGACAUCAGACAAGGUUCUCCUUUCCGAGGGGUGGGAUACAGCCAGAACCUGCCUGUGUAGUAGGAAGUGCCUUACAGAUUUUUUUUUUUUUAAGAGAUUUUUAAUUGCUAGAAACCAAUUUAUUCUGUGGCUGGUUUGCAGUUCAAGCUUUUCCCCUUUCUGUUAAUGACACGAGCUUCUGGACCAGCCCGUGCUCUUCACGGGCUGAAAGGCUCUACCUGGCCACAUUGAGACAUACAUGAGUGCUAUAGCUAUAUGCAUUUUGUGUAAUUCAGUGCCCCAACACAGCCAACCCUUUCCAUCUAUUCUGAAUUUAUUUGCAUUCCUAGCUUUGCAGCAGCUCCCUGCUUGACAGUGAGACCCCCCAGCUUGGCCUCUGUCCUGUGGCAGUCCCCAGGAGCAGGUGGGUGCGGAGGAGGGCAGUGGAGGAUGCUCUGCCCCGGGUCACUCUCCUGACCCACACCUGUGAUGAGGUGGUGCCCGGACUCAGCUCUCUGGGCAGGAAGAGGUGAGGAACCCGCUGCCGAUGGCCACACGGUGGAGCACGGCAGCGCCAACACGGUCCGGCUGCAAAGCGCACGUCUCUCGCCGUUACUGAAGAAACAAGCUGCUUGGAGCCUCAAGAGCUGCAGUUUCUUGGAAAUCUUGUGGCUUUCAGAGCUGAGCCCAGGUCUGGGAUUUGCUGCGGGCCAGGACUGACCCUGCCCACCUGGACACCCCAAGGGCCCUUUGGACAGCCUUGGCUGAACAGAUCCUGAGGCUCCUACUCUCCUAAUAUUUGAUUUUAUAUCUAGAUAUCACAUCAUGUUUAAGAAAACCUCCACUCUCAAUGAGAACAUGCUGUCACACAGCCAUCACUGAUUAAAGCACCAAAGAUGCAGAAGGAGGAGAACCAAACCAGUGUGAACUAGUCUCUCAGCCGUGUCCUUCUCCUGCUCAUGACAAUCAGUGCCACACCAUACUAACACUGUAUUUGUGAGCAUUUCCGCUCCUGCACUAGAUGGAUGUGUAAAUUCCCAGUUAUGGUCAACAACAACAACAACAAAAUAGAAGACAAGAAAAUUAAUCACUUCUGCAGACUGAAUCACCAUCUAGAGGUGCUUGUGUGGGGUAGAAAACAUAAAAACAACUUAGUGAUUAUAUGACGGACCUCAGACUGCCCUUCUCCUGUGUUCAUGGCCAUCUCCACCAUGGAUCCUGUCUAACAGCAGAAGCUAAUACAUGGCACAGGCACCUCAUGGUUUACAAUGUCCCAGGGACACACAAACACCAGCUCAGUGCACGGCCAGGGUAACCUUGUGCUAAAUUCCUGCACAGCAGCAUCACUGCUCUUAUCCCUAAGCCAGAAACAACCUGGGCUGACAUCGCCACGUCCCCACCUGCUGAUGAUGCGCCAGCAACAUUUCAAGGCUGCUGAAUUUGGUUAGUUUUGCAAGUUUCCUGCAUGUGCCUUGAAUAUUAAUAUCAAGGUCUCCAGUUUCCUUUACUGGCCAGGGGAGCCUUGCAAGUGAAAGCAAAAAAUGCUUCAAGGAGAAUUAUAGAAGGGGGAAGAUAGUCAAACUUUCUGGCCUCACAGGAUAAAAAUAAUGACUUCCCACUGCUGGCAAGGAAAUUAAAACCUUUCUUUGCUUACCCAAGAAGCCAUUCCAUGGCAGCAUCGGUCUGAAAACCGCAAGCUUUUCUUUUUUAAAGGAAAGGAGAAAAUACCUUAAAAGUAAAGAGAAUAAUACAUGAAAAAGGUUUGCCCGAGAAGGGUGCAUUGCGCUGGUAGAACAUUUACUAUCAGAAGUGCCCCAUUAGCUUUAUGUAAUUGUUCAACUCAGUGACAAAAAACAGCCUUUACUCCCUAUUUAACUGUGUCACACAACAUCAGAAUAUUCAGAAAGAGAUGUGGAGACCAAGUACUACACCAGCUGCCCUGUGACCUGAACCCUGCUAAAGGUUAUUAAAUAGGAAAUAUCUCCAGUGUCCUCCUCUCACACCCACCCUAGGACCCGGCUGAUUUUGAUCUGGAAAACAUCCGGAAAACAUUUUUUCUUCUCUGACCUUCCCUGAAGCAAGCGGGAAUGGCUGUCAUGUUACCUUCUCUAAAUUCAAUAGAUUUAAAAAAAAAAAACAAAAACCAAGAGCUUUGGUUUUCCUUAAGGUGCAUCACUCACAAGCCAUCGCGCACCAUCCAACUUGAGUGUCUCCUGGUAUGGGAGGACAAACAGGAGGGUCUCAGGAAGGCACAAAGAAAUUGAGAUUUUGUGUGGGGAUAAAGGACCCUGGGAGCUGGCUGCCUUUCGGUGCCUGUUCUCAGGAACCUAAAGUUCAAGUGCACAUGAUGCAAAAUGCAUCUCCUCUUCCAUUUCCAUCCCCAUGCCCGCAUGCCCCAAUCCAGCUGCUUCUGCCGCAUCACACAGCCCAAGCAUCUCGUAAAGUUUCAUACCAAGCUGGGGCAGACUUUCAAAAAAAUCUGAACACCGGGAAAACGUCAUACAGAAUUCAUAUCAGCUGCAUGAAAUAUAUAAAGAUAAAUGUGAGCUUUCUGUCUGAGAUGUCUGUGAAUAAAUCUAAGCUACUGAUGCCUGUGGGUGUCUCUGAGUGAAAUAUUAAUCUCUCACUAAUGGCAAUAUUUUGAUUAACAACUUCCUUUGCCUAGUGCCAAAUACAACUUUUUUUCUUUUAAAUCACAGACAAGUGUCAUAUAAGUUUUCAUUUUCACAUUAACAGGAUAUAUAUAUAAAGUACUUGGUAUUAGAGUUCUCUCAGCAGGCAAUUACAGAUACGUUCUGCUUUUUAAACAGUUUUGGUUUGGAUUUUUAAUUAGUCUCAAGGUGACUUCCAGCACACAAACACAUCCUGCUGGAUUCCCCAUAAAACUGCUGGUAAUAGUUUGUUUCUCGUGCUUACUGCAGCACUUUGCAGUGCAGCGAUUACACAACAAUCUGUAAAAGGUCUAAUUUUCAAAAUAUACUGAAAACUAAGAAACAAAGGUGAAGCAUCAACCAUCAGUAUUGAUAUACAGUAUGAUUUACUUACGAGUACAUGUGAGCCCCAUGUGAGAAGGAGCCUGUUGUAAAUCAGUCUCGUUCAACUGCUGACUUUUCCAAUGGAUUCAGCGAGGAAAGUUCUCUCAAAACCUUGUUCUUCAUGUUCUCAUCUGUCUCCUGUCCUGCCCCAGUGGCCUCUGGUACAGAGCAUUUCACCCCUCGCUGGGUGCAUCACUGCCAGCAGGACUCAGAUGAGAAGUCCUGGUUGCUCUGGGACCAGUUGGACCAGGGCGCCUUCCUCCAUCUCCCCUCCUGCCCAAGAUACAUGAAAUGCUGUGAUUUAGAGAAAGCUAUUCUGCAUGAAUAGCUGUCACUAAUCCCCUUCCACCUGUUACAGACACACUUUGGGUACAAAACAUACAAGCCUUGAUGACCCUGGGGUGCCAAGCAGACUGAUGGUGCAAACUGGAGGUGCUGGGCAUCCAGAUAACCUCUUCCAACACAAACAGCCUUCCUGAUGGUAUGGAAAUCUAUAGGGGGUGUCUUGUUAACUGAUGCAGCUUUCAUUUCCCUCUAAUUUCAUGGUGUUUCCAAAACAAUCCUAUAUCCAGGCUUCACCCCCUGCUUUGCUAAAUGUUCAGAAAUCUCUAAUCAGGCUGGAUAAAAUCAGAGAACAGGUCAGAUAAAAUAACAUUCACAUUGAGCGCAUGCCUCUGGGUAAGGGGUAAGUGAAGGUUAAACAGAUAAAAGAGAUUCUUAGGCUGGAACAGAAAUUUCCUGGAGAUAAGGCAGCUACAGAAAGAUGGCUGAUAAGAGACUCACCCACCCGCGUGAACUUGACCAUGGGGGGUGGGGGCGAAAGCAAAACCCAGAAAAAUAGACAAUAUUCCCCACAAGUUUUCAAGCUGCUUAAAUAUUUUAAUGCUCAGUGGUGAGAGGUUGAUUAACAAAAGAGUUGUGUGGUGUAUUUUUUUUUCUUUUUGUAUGAAGAAAGUCUGCGAUUCCUGAGAAAUUUCAGUUUCUCAUUAAAAAAAAGGAAUUUCAGCUGACACAAAAAUUGUUUGAAACUUCUCAAAAGCUGUUUUCCUCCGGCAACACGUCCUUGUGCUGGUCCUGCCACAGGCUACAGUGGGCAUGAGGAGGGCUCCCCCAAAUAACCUCAGUCUGCGGCUUUGUUUCUAAUGAAAACUCACUUGUUUGCUUCCUCCGAGGUUGGCUUCACCAAUAAGCCAUUUCCCUGUUUCUCAAAGACUCUUCACUAACCAAGUUGGGAGUUUUAUGGGACUUUCGGAAGGAAACAAAAUAAUAACCACAGAUGCCUCUCGAAAAAAGGUGUUUAAAAAACAAACAAACAAAGAAACAAACAACAAAAAAACCCAAACGUUCUAAAGAUUUUCUGCCAAACACCAACCAAACAAAAAAUCCCAAACCCAACAAACACGGAACUGUGAUCCAGAGCACCUUGCUGCAGAACGGCUCCAAGAAACAACCUACACUCGAAGCAAGAAAACAAACAGGUUAUUCUGCAGUAGGGAAAUUAUCAAUGUGAAAUGGUCUCUCUCUGGUUUGCAUUAUACUGUACCUUAAAAGUUUCGCUUUUCAGCACAAACCUGAAUAAAUUAUGAAGAACUGCAGUUACUAAUUAAAGCUCUACUAAAAUGUAAAGUGCACUUAUUGGAUGUGUUUUAAAGUAUAGAAAUUCCAGCCAAAGCUUGAGAAACCAAGUAUUUUAGGGAAUUAUUUUUUUUUUAAAUUACUAGCUUACGAAGUUAUUGUAUAAAAAAUUUUCUCAUAAGACCCAGCAAACAUACAACUCUCCAAAUACACAGCACUCAGCUGGGUAAAGCCCUCACCUCUGAAAAUCUGCCAAUUCGCAAGCAUUAAGACAAAAGCAAGACUGAUUCCAGCUCUUUUUGGAAGUGUGAUUAUUCCAAGUACUUGUGGAGCCAGAAGGGCCAUGCUGUGAGCCGUGCAGCUGCAUUCAUAUACACCAGAUGAAACCCUGUGGCACUGAGCAGUAGCAAAUACAUCGUAUUUUACCCAGAAUAGUCCCAGUGACCCCAUCAGGAAAGCUGGCUGGGGACCUUUUACAGGUUCUUCCUCCUGGACCAUCUUUGGGAACUGAGGUGACAGGUGGUAUCUUUACAAACAGAAAGGUGUUGGAAAGUCUCCAAAGAACAGCUGGAGGAAGAAUUAAAAACAAAGAAAAACCCCACAAAACAACCUUCUCCCUCAUUAACUCUGAGCACAGUCCCAAUAUUUUGACAAUACUUGUCAUCUCAAAUGGGAAGGAAAACGUGGAACAGCAACAUUCUGUGGAGAAUAACUUUUCAAAUCCCAUCAAACUACAGGGAAAUGCCAUCUUUCAGAUGAGCUUCCACCUGCAGUAUGUCCACACCACGGCAAGGCAGCUACUGAUAACUGCAAUCACAGCACUUCAAUUACUUGGCAUUAGCCAAGUCAGAACUGGGAAAUGCAGCUGUGUUGGGUGAAUGGGUGAUGUGGGAGAAAAAGUUAAUUGGAUUUUUUUUAUUACUGCUGAGUUGGAUCCAUUUCAAAUUGCCAAAGUUAGCUCUUUCCCUAUACACAUGAACAUACACCACAUUCGGGAAUAAGCAAACCUGCAGCUGCCCAGCAGUGAGGAUGCUGUAGCUGCCUGUAAUUCUUUCCUGCCAUCUAGCCGCAGACCAGACCAUCAACAACCUGAACACCGAGUAUUGCAUUUAAGAGAGGGCAGCAGUGAGACACAACUGCUGCAAGCCCUUCACAGGGUCUGCAGGUUCCCCAGGCAGCCCAUGGAGACUCUCCAAGGAGUCCCCGAGGACAAAGCACGGUUUAUGCUGCACCACCUGCACCUCUGCUGCCCCCCCGAGCCUGCCAAACGCACUCGAAUCCAUCAACAGCCAUUCCUGUUCAAAGGCCUUAAACCUUUGCGUUUAGCCCCAAGCACAGACACCCCUUGUGUGCCCCAUCGAAGGCAGAGGGCGUUCACACAGCACAACCACGUCCUUCCAUCCCCACCUCCUUACUGCCACCCAGCACUCUGUGCACAUCAGAGCCCCUCUUUCAAACAGAGAUUACUCAUUACUCAUUACUGUCUUUUCCUUCCAGGGAUGUGCAUUUAUUUUUCCCCUGCAAUGUUACCAAAAGCCUUCUCAUACUCAUGCGUCACUGCACAACCUGCCAGUCCUUUUUUUAUACCUAAACCACAAUUGUAAUAAUAACCUAAAUAACACCAAAUGUUUUCCAAUACAGAAGCUGAACCCAUGAAGUGAGGCUUUUGCUGAGGUUGUAUUGGUGGAUGAAAUAAAAGCAAUGGAUGCACUUAUUGCUAUGAAUAUACCACAUCAAUUAUUUAUUCCCAAACACACAUUUUUAAAGUGUGCUUUGUUAUUUACAGAUUACAAAGCACGACAGGAAUUUUUCAGUUCAUUUUUUUCCUUUCCUUGAUUUUGUCUCUGGGUGGAUUAUCCAAUUUCAACACGUGUUUCAACAUUAGUAUUAAUUUAACAACUAUGUGGCUGGUGAUUUUCAUAUAUGCAAGAAUCUGUUCUGUCUUUAGUAUACAAAUUUGGCUUUGGUACAUGACUUUGAAGCGUUAAACAGCAUGUGGCUGGUGACACAGAUUUAUGUUUUCAACACAAAUGGUUAGUUUCUAUUCCAUUAACCCUGUAACCUGUGGCAAACGCCACCUGCAACUCUGCUCCAGCAAGCAGCUUGUAGCUACACUGAGCUGUUUGGAAACAUGCAGGGCACUGUAGCUAGAAACAAAAACAUUCUUGUGCUGCACCUUGCUAGCCUUAUUUCUUAUGUGCAAGCAGAACAGCUUGGUCUCUCCAUGCUUUCACAGGUAAGCUGUUUGACAGAGGACUUGAGGCUGAAUUUCACAGUAGCAAUAGUACUGGGAAUAUCAAGUUGAGAAAUGGAAUUGCCAUGACUCAGAGUACUCCAGAAAGAAUAUCUGUAAAAGAUUUGGGAAGUUUCCGCUUUCUUCCCAGGCAAAGAUUUUGGCAAAACUUAGGCAAAAAUAAAUUUCCAUUGUUGGGUGCAGUAACAGCAAAAAUCUGCUUACAGGAAAGCUUUCUCUGUCUACAUCUGGCAUUACUUUAAUGAUAUUUAGCCUCGCAAUAGGAGAAGGAAGUGUUAUGGAUAUGGAAUAAGUGGCACUGGACACCAGUUAGCGCAGGCAGGUACGACCCAGGUUAAUAGCAGGUUCUAGAGGUUUUUUGUACUUCUACAAAAAGUUUUUUCCUGCACGCACCCCCUCAGCAGAAAAUGCUUUAAGCACAGCCCAGUGACCAUGCAAAUUGUUUGUUAAACACUCUUGCAUUGCCCU